rnacentral:rRNA from 1 species
CAAAGGCAUCGCUGGGUAGCUAUGUGUGGACGGGAUAAGUGCUGAAAGCAUCUAAGCAUGAAGCCCCCCUCAAGAUGAGAUUUCCCAUUACGCAAGUAAGUAAGAUCCCUCAAAGACGAUGAGGUAGAUAGGUUCGAGGUGGAAGUGUGGUGACACAUGGAGCUGACGAAUACUAAUCGAUCGAGGACUUAACCA